CGGAAAAAUCAGCCUUAGUGGACAUGGCAUCUGCCCGGUAAGCGGAACACUGUGGGUUCGAUUCCCAUUCCUGG
rnacentral:tRNA from 1 species